CACAUGCAAGUCGAGCGGAUGAAGGGAGCUUGCUCCUGGAUUCAGCGGCGGACGGGUGAGUAAUGCCUAGGAAUCUGCCUGGUAGUGGGGGAUAACGUCCGGAAACGGGCGCUAAUACCGCAUACGUCCUGAGGGAGAAAGUGGGGGAUCUUCGGACCUCACGCUAUCAGAUGAGCCUAGGUCGGAUUAGCUAGUUGGUGGGGUAAAGGCCUACCAAGGCGACGAUCCGUAACUGGUCUGAGAGGAUGAUCAGUCACACUGGAACUGAGACACGGUCCAGACUCCUACGGGAGGCAGCAGUGGGGAAUAUUGGACAAUGGGCGAAAGCCUGAUCCAGCCAUGCCGCGUGUGUGAAGAAGGUCUUCGGAUUGUAAAGCACUUUAAGUUGGGAGGAAGGGCAGUAAGUUAAUACCUUGCUGUUUUGACGUUACCAACAGAAUAAGCACCGGCUAACUUCGUGCCAGCAGCCGCGGUAAUACGAAGGGUGCAAGCGUUAAUCGGAAUUACUGGGCGUAAAGCGCGCGUAGGUGGUUCAGCAAGUUGGAUGUGAAAUCCCCGGGCUCAACCUGGGAACUGCAUCC
rnacentral:rRNA from 1 species